rnacentral:rRNA from 1 species
UACGAAGGGGGCUAGCGUUGCUCGGAAUCACUGGGCGUAAAGCGCACGUAGGCGGAUUGUUAAGUCAGGGGUGAAAUCCUGGAGCUCAACUCCAGAACUGCCUUUGAUACUGGCGAUCUCGAGUCCGGGAGAGGUGAGUGGAACUGCGAGUGUAGAGGUGAGAUUCGUAGAUAUUCGCAAGAACACCAGUGGCGAAGGCGGCUCACUGGCCCGGUACUGACGCUGAGGUGCGAAAGCGUGGGGAGCAAACAGG